rnacentral:tmRNA from 1 species
GGGGGUGAAACGGUAUCGACCAUGAGAGUUGAGGUAGCGGAAGCGAGCCGAGGUACCCCGGAGUCCUCGUUAAAAGCCGGGAAACAACAACAAGUGCCAACCAAGAGGUAGCACUGGCCGCUUAAUUGACGGCCUGUCCGCCCGGGGGGUUCCCACCUCGCCGGACACGGGCAACGCAAUGUGGGAUGCAGCUAGAUGGGACGUCAUAGCCCGCUAGUCAAGUAAUACUCUGACUAGGACCGAGGGACAAUUUGCCGGCGGCAUCCCGAGGUCUGAAACUUCGCCGCCGGCUGCGCUCGGAGAUGCCGCUAACCGAUUCCUUGUGGGACGGGGGUUCGACUCCCCCCACCUCCACUU